CUUUCCCUUCACCUUUUGUUUUUUAAAGCUGUAUAUAUGAAAUUUCAAGGCCCUUUAAUCUGAUAACACUGUCUUUAAAUAAUAAUAAUAAUAAUAAUAAUCUGAUACAUACUAUUUAACAUAACUUUCCAUUCUUGUUUGAACUAGAAAACAUUGCUCUCGUGCCUUAAAAAAGAAUUUUAUACUUGGUAUUGUCUUGAAGAGUUACCAGCCUGCAUAACAAGCAAAGAUCCAGUAAUGGGAGCUUGAGUUCUAUGAGGAUGCUACAAAAAAAUUUCAAACAAGAGCUCAGCUCAAUCAACUCAGUUUGGCUGGGCUGCCCAGCUCAGUGUUGAGUUUAAAGUAUCAUAUACAAAUAAAACACACAAACACAUGGAGUGAUGAUUGAUUCAUCCCCGUGGUUGACUGGGUGUUCAAUAGGGACAGACAAUCUUAUUACUUAGGACUCGGAUCCAAUGAUACCUAAAUUGCCAAUCCCUCUACCUUUGCUGUUCCAAAUCUUGCAAUCUAGAUUAUCGGUCAGUUGUGAUCUGGAUUGCUAUUUUUACUGACUGGAACUUGUGCGUCUAUAAUCUUAGUUUUGUUGAAGUUGUAAUGUAAAUUUAUAUUUGUGAUGCAGCAAUUUGUACUUUCAUUUAUGCAAUAGCGUGAAUACAAUAUAGUACUAAUAAUAACAUCCAUCAUUUCAUAUAUAAAUUAUCAUAUGAAUUCAGCAUGUAAAACUAAGGAAGGGUACUAUGAGGUCAUGGGAGAUUCCCAUAAGGUCGAGCUCUGUGGGGCCUCACCAUCAUGUUUCUCAGACAUCCACCCUGUGCAUCAGAUGCACCCUCCCAUGGUGGGCCAUGGGCGCAAAAAUGAGGCUAAUCCAUCACUUAGGUGGGUCACACCAUGGGGAAUAGUUAAGAAUAUAUGCCCAUCAAUUAAAACCUUCCUUGUUUGUAGGGCCCACCCAGAUAUGGUUCAGACAUCUGUCCCACUCCCAUUCAUUGUUUGCAUUCCACCUGGAUGAAGGGGUCACACAAAAUUUUAGGGCAUUCAAAAACUCAGGUGGGGCCCACCAAGUGAUUUUAGACGUUGUAGGCAUGAUUUCACACAGAUCCAGAUGGUGUGGCCCUCCUGAGUUCUGGAUACGGCUGAUUUUUGGGACAUCCCAUAACCUGGAGGGGACUGACCAAAUGCACAAUGUAGAUGUCCAAGACACAUCAUCGUGGGAGACUGGAAGCUCGACCUCGUGGGGGGCUCCCAUGAGGUCAACCUCACAGUGCCUUUUCUCAUAAAACAAUAUUGCAUGUACUUGGUGUAUGAACUAGAGCUACCUGCAUGAUCAUACCCCUAGUUUACCCCAUAUGGGAGGACAUCGAAUUCUGCAUAGAUGGUUCGUGUACUACAACUAGAGCAACUGGUCAUCCAUGUAACCAUGGUCCAAUCUCUUGCUAUCAUCUGCUUUCUACGUGAAAUAUUUUGGCACUCUUCUUGGAAUGUUGGUUUUGAGUGUUUGAGUUUUAUCUCUGUAGAGCUGUACUUCGACAAGGCCUAUUUUGGUGUCCUGUAUACCUUUAUCUCUCUAGAAAUGUCUUUUAUACAACAUGCCUUUUCGAUAUUGCUGUAUGGAAAAUUAAAUGUCUGUCGCUGUCUUUAUACAAUAGAUACUGCCGCCUUCCAGAAAUCUAGAAUAAAGAUUUCAUCUUGUGCUGGUUUAUCUAUAUUUUGAUCUUCUAUUCGUCUUGUGUUGUUUGAAAUGGUAAGAGGGAUUGGGGAUUUUCCAGAUAGGGUAGAGACCUGUUGGCUUAUGAUUUGGAAAAUCAGGUCAGUUCUUCGACUAUCACGCUGGCAGGAGAAGAUGCUGGUUGGCAGCUUUCUCCUCUUUUGUUGUGUGUUGCAUUUUCAGUGCCCAAGGAAGACCAAGCAAUUCUAGUGGAACAAAAUUUUCUAGAAUGGCUGUUACUGAAUGCGGAUAAAACUUAUGUAAAACUCAACUGCCUUUAUUCAGUAACAACUCUGUCAUUAGACUGCAAUUCCUGAUCUCACAAAAAUUCAUAUAAAGAAAUCCCGGCAUUUGCUUAGGGGUUUGUUCUCAUGGGAGUUGCAACUUUAUGAAAGUGAGAGUUAGCUUAUAUGAAAGAGUCUUUUAAUUAUUUGAAAGCGACUUAUUAUUUCGCCCUCUUUCCCUUAUCUGAUUCACUGUCUUAGGAGCUUCACAAUGGAAAGACUUCUCUUGUGAUGUUUAAACCAGUGAUAAAUUAAUUUCUUCCUGCAUCUGCGUGUGGUCUCAUGCGAGCUGCCAUUUGAUCUUGAAGGAUCAUUUGGACGAGACCAAGCAGACAUUCGCAUUUGGGUGCCUGUAUACUAUGUGUAUGUAUGUAUAUUUAAGCCAACUCCAAAUAGUGGGUACAAGCUAGGAUGAUGAUGAUGAUCACUAUUGUCAAAAUCGUAAGAUUUAUGAUCUGAAUCAUA